UACGUAGGGUGCGAGCGUUAAUCGGAAUUACUGGGCGUAAAGCGUGCGCAGGCGGUUUUGCAAGACAGGUGUGAAAUCCCCGGGCUUAACCUGGGAGCUGCAUUUGUGACUGCAAAGCUAGAGUACGGUAGAGGGGGAUGGAAUUCCGCGUGUAGCAGUGAAAUGCGUAGAUAUGCGGAGGAACACCGAUGGCGAAGGCAAUCCCCUGGGCCUGUACUGACGCUCAUGCACGAAAGCGUGGGGAGCAAACAGG
rnacentral:rRNA from 1 species